rnacentral:tRNA from 1 species
AGUUUUAUAGUCAAUUAUGAUUUUAAAUUGCAAAUUUAAAGGUAAUUUUAAUAAUUUAAAACUU